UCGCCCUUCUCCUCAGCCUUCCCUAAUUCAACAACAGGGGUCAGCUUCUUCUGUCCAUUGGUUGGAUGCAAAUAUCUGCAUCUGACUCUUUCAGCUGCUUGUUGGGUCUUUCCAUAUGCUCUUGCAGAAGCUAAGGUGGCUUUCUGCUUCAACCCUCUAGUCCUUUGAAACUGAGGCUGUAACUAGGAGUGAGUACUGCUGUUUCUCUGCCCCUAGCCUCUUAGAAAACAUGUCUAUUGCCUAGUGUUUGUGACAUACGCUUUACCCUGUCACUUCAACCAUUGUUGCCACACACCCAAAACAUCUGACCCCACUACCAAAUAAAAUACCUCACAUUAGUAAGCUCACCUCAAAUAUACUGGGCUGUACUGUGCCAAAUCCUAUUGCAAUAAUUGGAAUAGAAUCAGAUGCCAAGAUUGACUCCUAUGGAUGAAGCUCUUAUAGAAAACAGCUCUCAUGAUAGUUGGGCAGAUCCAUUGGCUGGCAGUGGAUGAGAAGUCAUGGAAACAGAAGAACUCCAACUGAAUUACAGGAAGAGAAUGAUUUCUGGUUGAUUCCUCAAGCAAAGCCAAGACACCGAAGAGUUGAUCGGGAUUCCUUCCCAGAGUUAAUGCUCAGAGGUUUAAUAAAAGUAACAUGUUCACAUUUAUA